UACAGAGGGUGCAAGCGUUGUUCGGAAUUAUUGGGCGUAAAGGGCGCGUAGGCGGUUUGACAAGUCUGAUGUGAAAUCUCUGGGCUCAACCCAGAGUCUGCAUUAGAAACUGUCGGGCUUGAGUAUGGGAGAGGUGAGUGGAAUUUCCGGUGUAGCGGUGAAAUGCGUAGAUAUCGGGAGGAACACCAGUGGCGAAGGCGAUCACCUGGGGUUGUUCUGACGCUGAGGAGCGAAAGCU
rnacentral:rRNA from 1 species